rnacentral:lncRNA from 1 species
UAAUGAGAGCCCCAUCGAGUUUCACCAGGUCUAGGCAAACUCAUCUCUUGAUUUAAUCCACUCCCUGAUUCAAGCUCACCACACUCAAGUGUUUUCUUGAUAUUCUCAAGCCUAGCAGUUCGAAGCAUACCAAUGCGCUUGCAAGAAACUCCAAUAAUAUUCAAUAAGAUAGAUACUUGAUCAAAAAAGCUCUUACAAUUAGUAUUU